rnacentral:rRNA from 1 species
UUACGACCAUAUCAGGUUGAAACACCGGGCCUCGUACGAUCACCGAAGUUAAGCAAUGUCGAAACUGGUCAGUAUCUAAAUGGGUGACUGCUUGGGAAUACCAGGUGCUGUAA